UUCUGAGAUACAGGGGGUUAGAACCCAACAUAUCUUUCUGGAACACAAAAUUCCAUCCAUGGUAGCUCUCUAGGAAGUUUGAGAGGUUGGACUUAUGAAAGUCAAUGGCAGCUGGCCAUUGUGAGGUCAUCGAAUCAAGCACUUCCUGCUCCGCACCUGCCCUGCAGCAGCCCACUCCCAGACAUCUGCGAACUGUGGUCAUCCGUCCCAGGUUGGAAUGCUUCUCCAUGGUGCACGUACUUCUGCAGGAUCCUAGUUUUGUUGUGGGAGAUAGAGAGGCAACGUGGAGAGAGGAGGUGUCCUCAGAAAUGUGUGCAUAACACAAAUCACCCAACUUGCUGCAGGUUCAGAUUCCUGGGACUCAAGCUCUAGAGAUGCUGUUGGCCAUUCAAUCAUAGGUGUUCAAGUGGCUACGUUUUGAGAAACACUUACACAGAGAAGAGUCCAGAAACAGAAGCCGACUGACCUUUCCAAGACGGCUUUUGAGCUCUGUGUUUCCCUUCUUCGGCGUGAAGGCCUUAAGCAAGAUGGAGAGGAUGAUUCCACAUUCCGUGAGCUGCCUUGCGUUCCAUUCCUUAAGGAAGUGGCAUGCUGAUGCCAAAGGGCAAAUCUGCAACGAAGCUGAAAUAGAUAUAUCCUAAAAUGCCUUUGAAAUAAGUCUGUUCACCAACACUGAUGUUUGGAGGCAGAAAAAUGGAAUGAGCUGGUCAAAAGGGAGGGCUUUGCACUGAAAUCCUGCCCCUGCCACUUAUUUCACAAAACCUUCUUAACCUGAGACUCAGUUUCUUUGUAAUAAAAAUGUAUGAAAGUA